rnacentral:rRNA from 1 species
GAUGAACGCUGGCGGCGUGCUUAACACAUGCAAGUCGAACGGAAAGGCUCCUGCUUGCAGGGGUACUCGAGUGGCGAACGGGUGAGUAACACGUGGGUGAUCUGCCCUGCACUUCGGGAUAAGCCUGGGAAACUGGGUCUAAUACCGGAUAGGACGAUGGCUUGGAUGCCAUUGUGGAAAGUUUUUCGGUGUGGGAUGAGCUCGCGGCCUAUCAGCUUGUUGGUGGGGUAAUGGCCUACCAAGGCGUCGACGGGUAGCCGGCCUGAGAGGGUGUACGGCCACAUUGGGACUGAGAUACGGCCCAGACUCUUACGGGAGGCAGCAGUGGGGAAUAUUGCACAAUGGGCGCAAGCCUGAUGCAGCGACGCCGCGUGGGGGAUGACGGCCUUCGGGUUGUAAACUCCUUUCGCUAGGGACGAAGCGCAAGUGACGGUACCUGGAGAAGAAGCACCGGCUAACUACGUG